GAGAAAGAGCGGAGGAGGGAGAGGAGGAACAGCAGCAGCAGCCGGGGAAAGGAAGGGAAAACAAUCAGUGCGUGCGUGCUCCGCGCCGGGCCCCCCAAAGGGCGGCCGCGCUCCCUUUGUUUCCCGCCGCCCCGGCCCCGGCUCCUACCUGUCCCCUCGCCCCCCGGACGCCCCUGGAUCUGGGCCCGGGUCCCUGGGACGCGGCGGUGACAGCGGCGACGGCACGACGGGCGCCGCGGCCGCUCGGGGAGGGCAGGGGGAGCAGGCGCUGCUCCGCCGCCGCGGCCGCUCCAGUCCGAGUUGCGGGCGGCGGGGCGGAGCGGACUGCGGUGCGGGGGCCGCGGGCGUGAGGCGGCGGCGGAGCCGGAGGAGAAGGCGGCUGCGGGAGGGCGCGACGCCCGCGGCAGCUGCUGCCCGUGUCCGAGCGCCCAGCCGCCCCCCAGCCGCAGCAACCGCAGCAACCGCAGCAACCGCAGCCGCCGCGCGGGGCCCGGGAGAAAGUUUAGCAAAGGCUCGGCGGAGGCGCGGGGAGCUCGGAGCCCGGCGACGCCGCACUGUCCCUGGGAGCCGCCGGCAGCCCAGCCUGGCCCUGCCUCUGCCUCCGCCUCCCUCCCUCCCCUCUCGGUCUCACGCGGCCCGCGCGCGCUCCCUCGCGCUCGCGCCC
rnacentral:lncRNA from 1 species